UACGGGGGGAGCAAGCGUUGUUCGGAUUUACUGGGCGUAAAGGGCGCGUAGGCGGCGCAACAAGUCACUUGUGAAAUCUCCGGGCUUAACUCGGAACGGUCAAGUGAUACUGUUGUGCUAGAGUGCGGAAGGGGCAACUGGAAUUCUCGGUGUAGCGGUGAAAUGCGCAGAUAUCAGGAGGAACACCGGUGGCGAAGGCGGGUCUCUGGGCCGAUACUGACGCUGAGGAGCGAAAGCGUGGGGAGCAAACAGG
rnacentral:rRNA from 1 species